AGUUACCUCCGGAUCUAAACAGAACAGCUCUAUAUCCACCUCAACAUUGGAAAAUCGAUGGAGUUCUCAAUCCGCAGUACAAAUGCGGGCCACCGGUUCGGGUUGACCCAUCACAGUUCCCCGAUUCUAGCGGUCUGCCGGCAGUAACCUAUGCCAUCGCCAGUUGGCAAGUUGUCUGCAACAUAACCAAACCCAAAGCUCAGGCUUCAAGAUGUUGUGUCUCUUUCUCAGCAUUUUACAACAGCUCUGCUAUUCCUUGCAACACUUGCGCUUGUGGAUGCAAUGACAUUGAUACAACCACUUGCAAUGCUGACCGUAACCCACUUCUCCUCCCUCCAGACGCGCUCCUUGUUCCAUUCGAUAACCGAACCCUAAAAGCCAAAGCUUGGGCCCAACAAAACCACAUGCCAAUACCAAAGAAACUCCCUUGUCCGGAUAACUGCGGAGUCAGCAUUAACUGGCACGUUAACACGGACUACAGAGACGGUUGGACGGCUAGGUUAACCGUUUUCAACUGGAGAGACUUCGCUUUUGAGGAUUGGUUUGUAGCGGUUGAGAUGGGAAAAGCAGGUCCAGGGUAUGAAAACGUGUACUCCUUUAAUGGCACACGUGUUCCACCAAACAACAGAACCGUUAUGUUCCAAGGGCUACGUGAUAUGAACUAUCUUGUGGGUCAAGUUAACGGAACCCAUCCACUAAGAGACCCUCCCGUGCCGGGCAAGCAACAAUCUGUUAUCUCCUUUAAAAAGAAGAACAUCAAAGGACUGAAUAUACCAGAAGGUGACGGUUUCCCAACCAAACUUUUCUUCAAUGGAGAAGAAUGUGCGCUUCCAAAACAUUUCCCAAAGAAGAGCUCAGGAUAUAGACACGGUAUCAGUGUCUGGAUGUCACUUGUUCUCGCUAUGGCGGCGGCUUUUGCACUAAUGAUGGAUUAAUUACUAAAGUUAGCCUUAUUGGUCAGUUUGGUGUUUUGAUGCUGUUGCUGAAGAAUCAGAAGGAGCAGAUGUGGAAAGAUCUUUGUAAUAUGAUUGAUCUAUAUUGAAAAAAUGGAUAUGUUGUAUUAUACUUUUGUUUGAUCUUAGUUUUUAAAUUGGAAUUUUUUUCUUGAAAUAUCUCUUUGUUCUUUAUUACUAUAUCUGGAAUUAUUUAAAUACAAAAUCUAAGAUGCUGAAGCAAGGAACAAAAGCUGUUGACAGAAGAAACAAGUCACAUGAGAUUCCAAAUUAAAAACAUUUCUUGAAAGCAUGCAUUUAUGCUUUGCUUAGAAUCUGAGAAAGACAAGGAAAAGCUUCUCUGCAACAUUUCCUAAAAAGCCUCAUCUUUAUAUAAACUCACUAACCUUUCAUCAUGUGUCAUCAAUAACUAUACCACACUAAGUCCAAAUACAUCUCUCUAGCACAUCUUGAUUACACAUAACCUAAAGAAAAUGAUGCUUCGUGGGUUAAGUCUCGUGUGUUUUUCCAUGAUUGUUAACAAAGCCUACGCUAGAGAGUUUAUGGUCGGUGGUGCAAAAGGUUGGACCCUUCCUUCCGGGUCUCAAGUUAUGGGCAGAACAGAGCAGAUUCCAAGUAGGCGACUCUCUGCGUAAGUUUCCACACUGUACUUACCAAACAAUAACGAUAGUUUUUUUUUCAUAUGUAACACAAACAACAUGUAUAUAAUCGCAGUGUUCGUCUACCAACCAAAUCAAGAUUCAGUGUUCCAAGUCACAAGAGACGCUUACGACAGCUGCAACACUGAUGCACCAACCGCUAAAUUCGCUGACGGGAAAACAUCCUUCGCACUAACCCACUCCGGACCAUACUUUUUCAUCAGCGGAAACAAAGACAUCUUCUAGGGCAUGCAUAGGUUUUCGUUCUGUCAAAAGCCACCUUCUUUCUCUUGUUGUUAUUUCAGACCUAGGAACAAAAUAUAAAUAAAUCAAAAGCUUUAUACGUUUGACUGUAGACUUGUAGAUCAAGAAAAGAAGCAAAUAUAUUUUAAAUUUUGUAGAAAGAGGCAACGACCAGAACUCGGAGGAGAUGGAGCGAGCUGUCAAGAAGUUCCGUGGGAGAGGAUCAGAACUACAACAAAGAUUCGAUUUCCUUGUGAGUUUGGGUCUGAAUGAGAAGGAUGUCCGAAAUAUGGUGAACGCUUUCCCUCAGAUCCUGUGUCAAGCGUCUGAUCUCCUGGAAGCGAAGGUUAACUACAUUGUCAACGAGCUUGGUUAUCCGUUUUCGAUCUUUGUGACAUUCCCUUCGUGUCUAGUGUUUACUCUCCAGCGGAUGAAGCUCAGAUUGGGGAUGAUUCCGUUUAUGGAAGGUAAAGUAAAGGCAAUUAGCAGUUUGCUUGGGUGCUCGGACAAACAUUUUGUGUCUCACUAUGUAAACCGCCACCCUGAUGGGCCUAAACACUGGGAGGAUUUGAAGAAACAGAUUCUCUAUGAGUAGAACAACUAAUUUUCCUUGAUCCUNNNNNNNNNNNNNNNNNCUUAUCCAUUCUGACAUUACAGAACUCUAGACCAUUGUCUGUUCGUAGAUAUUUCAACCUUUUCUUGGUAGUGUUUUCAACAAGUACCUUCCAUUCUGAAAAAUUCUCGUAUACUUCAUCUUUGCUUCUUAGAAACCUUAUCCAAACCUUUCUAGAAUAGUCAUCAAUGAAAGUUAGGAAAUAUAUGCAGCCUGAUAAGCUUGGUUCAUUUGAGACUGAUCCCCAAAGAUCACUGUGUACAUAAUCAAGCUUCUCCUUUGAUGUGUGUCUGCCCUCCGGGAAACUUUGCUUAUGAGCUUUGCCAAAGACACAUUUUUCACAGAAAUCCAAAGUGUGAACUUCUUUUGGAUUCAAAUAACCUCCCUUAACCAAGAGAUUCAUGUUCUUCAAACUCAUAUGCCCUAGUCUGGAAUGCCAUCUAUUCGUUAGGUUUGUCUCAGCUCUAGCCACUGAUACUUCUCCUUUUAUGACAGAUCCCUGUAGAUAGUAUAAGCCAUCUUGAUAUUUUCCAGACAGUACUUUCUUACCUUCUCGAUAGAAGGUGACUUUAAAAUUUUCCCCUUCAUACUUGCAUCCAUUUUUCUCCAAUUGUCCGUAGGAGAUAAGAUUUCUGCCCAUUGUUGGCAUGUAUCUCACAUCACUCAGAAUGACUUGAGCUCCUUCAGAAUUUAUAAUUUUUAUUUUUCCAAUACCUUUGACUUCACACUGGGUGUUGUUUCCCAGUAAGACUUUUCCACCGUCUACUUCCUUGAAGUCAAAUAGUACCUCCCUCUCCGGUGUGAUAUGGAAAGUGCAGCCAGAAUCCAUUACCCAUUCCUUCAUAGGAUCGUGAGCGCUUGCGGUUAGGAUCAUGGGUUGCUCUUUGUCAUGAGCAACAUUAACAGAUUCAUUCGAUUUCCAGUUCUUCUUGUCUGGACAAUCUUUCUUGAAAUGACCCUCUUUGCCGCAUGUCCAGCAUUCUCUGGGUUUUCCUGAACCUCUUGGUCUUGACUUUGAUCUGUUUCUGCUUUUAGAUCUACCUUUCCAUUUACCUUGCGGUUUAGACUCUGAUCUUCCUCUUUCUGCUAUUAGACCUUCUGCAUUUGAUUUUGUUUUUCCAAUAAGUCCAGCUUCUUUUAACUCAACUUCUUUUGCAUAUGCAGAUGAGGUAACUUCUUGCAGUGUCAGAGUUUCUUUGCCGUUCCCGUACUUGAGAGUAUGUACUAAAGAAUCAAACUGCUUGGGCAAGCUUGACAGAACCUGUAUUGCUUGAUCUUCAUCGCUGAUUGUAAUGUUCAAGCUUUCUAGAUCAUCUACUAACCUCAAGAAAACAUCCAGAUUCUCUUCUACACUUCGAUGCUCUUCCAUCUUGAAACUAGCGAACCGUUGCUUUAAGUAGAUUCUGUUAGGUAAUGUCUUAGUUUGGUAGUCUUUUUCUAGUGCCUUCCAUACCCCUAGUGCAGUAGUCUGUUUCAUAACCUUUCGCAGCACCAGAUUACCAAGACUAGCACAAAUCAUGUUUUUAGCACGCUUGUCCAUCUCCUUCCGAGUAAGAACCCCUGUACCGGGUUUAGUCUCCUUAUUAUCAUCCUUGUAUGUGUCUGAUGUAGAACUAGUGUCUUCUUCAUUAAGCACACUGUCAAGAUCAGCAUUCUCAAGUUGCAUCUGCAUCUUGAAUUUCCACAUACCAAAAUCUCCUUUUCCAUCAAACUUUUCCACCUCAAUCUUGAUUUUAGACUUCUUCAUGAUCUCACCAACAAUCGUGAAAUCAACACCAGCUAGAGUCUAGGUUUAAUAACCACCAGAACGCAGCUAAGACCGCUGAAACCGUUCCUUUAUAAACCUAACCUGAGAGCUCUGAUACCACUUGUAAGGUCUUAGAUUGUAUUACUGUCUUAAACCUUAGUUCCUUAGCUAGAUUUGUUUAGCUAAUGCUUGAUCAACUAACCUUGAUACGAUUUGUUUGUUUGUUGUAUAGGAGACAAGACACAAAUUAAAGCUUUGGUUACCCAGUUCCCUUUGCGGUACGUCUGGGGGAAGAACUACGCUUCCAAUCCACUAUCUCAAGUACAAAGAGUAAUACAAGAGAAGUAAAGCUCUAAUCACUUCUACACCGAAUAAUAGAGCUAUGAACUAUAUAUCUAGUUCUUAUAACUUGAUUGUUGUAUGCUCAGGUAUGCUACGACGAUCUUUUAACCAAGACAAUCAACUUUCACCUGCUCUCCACAAUCUGAUGUUGUUGCCGUCCUCUUCAAGUCACCCAUCUUUUCCUCUUUUAUACGGGCAUCUCAAAUAACCCUAAAAAAAAUGGGCCUUGGUGUUGAGAAUCUUCGCAGUCCUUUAGUUAUGACUUGUGGGCUUUUCGGUUUAGCCCAUGAUGAGGAUCAGAGACAACUAACCCGACAACUAACCCGACAAUGUUUAUUUUUUUGUUUCUACAUAUUUGAUAUAUAUGUGAAUUUAAAAGGUAAAAACGUAAGUUCAAAUACAUAUAUCUUAUACUCAAAUGAAUGGAGAAAGAAUCAAUAAAAUAUUUAGGUUAUAGGUCAAAAUUAUGGAUCAAGUUUACAUUUUAGGUUAAAGCUUACUAUAUGUUAAUGUAUUUUCGUAAAUAUUAAAAUAUCGUGCAUGUAUGUCUACUAAUUCAUCUGUUGAUUAGGUUUAUUCCUGGUUAAAAUAUCGUGCAUGUAUGAAGAUAAUUUAAUUAGGUUUAUUCCUGGUUAAAAAAUAAAAUGGUUGGAAAAAAAAAAGAAUACUAAUGAUUGUGAAUCUGAGUCGGUGUAACGCUACUGUACGCAAUCGUCGCGUGUUUGGCGGCUACGCGGUUACUCGCUCAACACUAAACACCGCAUAAUCUCAAACAGAUGAAGAACACCCACUAGAGCGCCACCACGUGUCGAAGACUGUCUUAACGUCAGCCAAAGUUAAACGUAACCAGGCUUUCGCUAGCGUGUGUUUAUAUCAUUUCCAGAACUUCGGUCGUUCACCUUAGCAUUACGUGGCGGCGUUAAUUAACGGCCGAUAAUUUGUUGCUUUCGGAGAAGAAAAAGGAGAAAUGAUCAAUGUGGCUUAAAAAGUCUUCUGUUUUUAUUUUCUUUCAUCUUAAUUUUUUUUGUUUCUUGAUUACCUAUUUACAAAAUAUCACAAAAAAAAUAACACUCAAGAUAAAUAAUUAAUGUGACUGUGUGUUAUUUUGUGGAAAUACUAUGAAUAUUUAUUUUAGUAUUUCCACAAAAUAACACACAUUUUUAUCUCCAAAUUUUUUUUGUAAACUUCAAUUAUUUUUAUAGACAUUUGAUGAAAUUUUUUUUUUAAAAAAAGUACAUAAAGACAUAAUUGAUCAUAUGACAAAAAAUGAGGAUACCAGAUUUCAACAAUUUUUAGUUCGUAAUCAAAAAAUUAAAAAUAAAAAAAAUCAUUCCUUACUUUGAAAUGCACUAAUUGAUUAUAUAUGGAAAGCAUUAUAGUAUUAAUUUUAUGAAAUAGUGUAGUAUUUUAUUCGUAGUUAAUAUUUAAUAAUGUAUUUAUAUUUAUAAUUUUAUAUAUUGGUGUAAUAUUUUAUUAACUAAUAUUGAUGUGAUAAUUUUAUUAUAUGUGCUAGUUAUUUAGAAACUUUUAUAAAUUUAGAAUAAUUAUGAUAAAUAUAAAGAACAUAGUAUAAAAAAAAUUAAAUUUGAAGUUUUUAUUUUACAGAAUAACAGCUUUAAACUUUAAAUAUAGAUUUUUGUAAACUUCAAAAUAUAGAGUAUGUUUGGAGAUGUUGUAAGGCAAAAUGAAAUUUCAGAUUUGCUGUUAAUGCAAUUUUAAAAUACUUUCUUGACAAACAACUUUAUCCGUGAAGUUGUCGCAAAAGCAAGUUUUCAUUAAUUGACUCACAAUUAUUAGCGAUUAAGACAUGAAUUGAGGAGUACAUAUAACAAAAAGGGUUACUGAAAAUGAUUGUAUCAUAAUACUGUAUCAUACAGAUUAUAAGUUGAACCCUCAACCGAGGUCAACUUUACAAUAGGAUUUAACUAAAGUCGAUUUAUAGUUUGAUUGUUCGAUUAUAAGUUUAUAACUUUAUCAAAUUAAGAUAAAAUAAUCUUAGGCGUAAAACAAAACGAAAAGUAUUAAGUUUUAGUGUAAAUCAUACAUGUAUUGAGUGGUAUUUUAGAAAGUACUAUAUCAAGUAAAAGUUUUUGAAAUCUCUAAUGAUUAUAACGAAAAUCUUUUCUGGUGAGAAAACAAUUCCUGAAAAAAAGGAUGAGAUAAGUUUACAUGUACCUUGAGUAAUGUUUUUACAAAUUCUUGAUCUAUGUUUCGUUUACAUGACUAUCUCUAAUGGAGCAUUAUUUCUCCCUCUAUAUUUUCUUUUAAAAUAGAGUAUUAGAGAAAUUUAUUUUAAUGGUGUAGAGUUAAUCUAUUAUAAAGUUUCAAUAUACAUGAAUUUCUUUUUACUCUAUAAUAAAGUAAUUUAUAGAGUUAUACACCAUUGGAACAAAUGUAACUCUAUAGUAGAAUUAUUCUAUUUUAUAAGAAAAUAUAAAAGAAAAAUAUUGCUCUUUUUUUUUUUUUUUGAAUGAAUGUUAAAUUUUAUUCAUCAAAAAAGCCUUUUUACAUCAAAGUGUAGACCUUGGUAAAGAAAAUCCUAUAUUUAAACUUUGUAACUACUAACCCACCCAUGUCUCCAAAAUGUUCCCAAACCUCCAGACUUUCGAAACUCAAGUCCUAGUGCUAAACCAAUAUUGAAGGCCAGUCUCCAUGCCCUUAGCUCCUCCUGUUCUCAGUAGACUUAACUUGUUUCUAAUACCCUUAUCAAUAAGCUUCUUCACUGCAGUCACAGGCAUUGGGCUUUCUCCAUGCUUAAUCUUAUUCCUUUCACGCCAUAUCACAUAGAUGGCGAUUUGAAACCCAUAUCUCAAACAAAAGGAUCUCUUCUUAUCUCUAUCAGACUGUAUAAGCAAAUCCACAGUUGCAUUCCAGUCAGUAGUAUAUGAACCCCUAAGGAUGCCAAGCAUAAGAUACUCCCAUAUUUGAGAAGAGUAGGAGCACUCAAAAUACAGGUGACUUCGGGACUCUGCAGCAUUCUUACAAAGGGCGCAAGUAACAUCAACUCCACUAUUCCAUCUCGCAACCCUGUCCAUAGUAGUUAGCCUAUCCAGCAUGGCUAACCAAGUAAUAAAAGCAUAUUUAGGUGUAAUCUGCGAGAACCAGACAGCAUGUACCCAAUCAAUAUGAUCAUAAGAGGUACGAGUUAAAAACCAAGUCUCUUGGGUAGAGAACUUGUCUUUAAAACCCGAUCUUCUCCUCCAGAGACUGACAUCUUCCACAUUAACCCGCAACCUCUCUUUAACAGCAACCAUCUCAGACUCAAUGGCAUUUAACAACUCAGUACGAUGCCUUCUUCUACGUCUAACACAGAGAACAGCUUCAGCUACUACAGCUUCAGCUACUGUAGCUUCAUUACUAAUCCCCAAAUCAAUAACGCCUCUUGGCCCCAAAAUCUCAACCAGGACACCCUUAGUAGACCAAUUUUCAUACCAAAAAGAAGUAUUACAUCCAUUCCCAACUUCUUUUUUAUAAAAACCCUUUGCAAUAUUUCGAAGUUUAAUCAUUUUUCUCCACAUCCAAGAACCAGCCUGAGUGUCUUCUUUCACUUCCCAAAAACACUUCUUCUUCAGUAGGUUACGUUGUAACCAUUGCCCCCAUAAUGAAACCCCAGACAGCAACCUCCAAAUUAUUUUCAACCCAUAGACUCUAUUCACUUCUUUUAAUGAUCUGAUCCCCAAGUCACCCUCAGACUUUAGCUUACAGACAUCCUUCCAAGCAACCUUAGCUCCUGAGGAUUUAAGUGCCGGUCCCGACCAAAGAAACGAGGCACAUAGCUGCUCAACCUCCUUAAUACACUUAGUUGGUAAUCUGAAGACAGUAGCCCAAAAGUUUGCUAUACUCACCAACACUGCCUUGAUCAAUUGUAGACGACCCGCGUAGGAAAGGAAUCUACAAGUCCACAUAUUGAUCUUGCUACGAAUUUUUUCCACCAGAGGUAAAUAGUCUUGCCUUCUCAUAGACUUAGUCAUAAGCGGUAAGCCCAAAUACCUAACAGGGAGACUUCCUAUAGCAAAGGGGAAAUCCAACAAAAUUCUACUACGCUCAUCUGCUUAAACACCUGCCAUAUAGAGAGUCGACUUCUCAAUGCUAAUCUUUAGCCCUGACCACUUGGAAAAUUCAUCAAAGACUGAUAAAGCCCCCUCAAUAGAAUGCUUAGACCCCUCCACAAAGACCAUGAGGUCAUCGGCAAAGCAGAGAUGAGUUAAUGAGAUAGACUUACAACGCGGAUAUUCAAGACUUAUCUAAAGAGUGUUUUAUCUAUUUAUGAGAUAUAUAAAUUAAGAAUCUAUGAGAUAUAUAAGUUAAUAUUUUUCAAUGGGUGUAUUUUAGAAAACCCUUUACAGAUUAAGGUUUUGAAUAGCAAGCAAAUGAAUGAAGACGAAUAUUAAAUUUUGUAUCAUUCUUAAAAAAUUACACCAUUUAUGAAAAUCAAAUUUUAUAUCCAUUCUUAUCAUUCUUUUUUUUUAAGUUUUAAGUAUUACAGAACAAAUCUGUUUUUCACUAAAUUUGAAAACAAAAAAAAACAUUCAUAAUUUUCGUUUCUAUUAGUUUAUUCUUAUUCAUUCUUUUUGUUCGUUUUAGUGUUCCUAUUAUAGUUUCCGGUUAGACCUUAAAGUCUAAAAAACGAUGAAAUUGUAUAAAGAUAAUAAAUGUCAUAUUUCUUAAAGCAUAGGGUACAAACAUCAGGUCAUCACAACACAUUUCCUUGUCCUGUUCGAGUCGACAAAUCAUUAGAGGUUUUCAUUUCGUAAGUAAAAUAACAAAAACAGAAAACAAAGUUUGUUUCAUUUCGAAAACAAGCGAAGCGGUUUUUAGUUAACAAACAAAUAAGAAGCUAUGUUCCAAAAUUAGCAAUUGUCCUAAACACACAUUCUUACAUGUCCUCUCCGCGGGACCACCAAAUAAAACCAGAGGCUCAUAUCAAAGCUACCUAUUAAGAACCUCUUCUUGUCCAACCUUUUUCCCUUCUUUGAGUUAAAAUCUUUUGGAUUUUCAAUCUUUUUUACAGGUUUCUUCACACUGAAACCUUCAUCGUUUGAUUCUAUCAUCACCCUUGUCAAAGGCUUGGUUAAUUCCUUGUUUCUUUUUCUCUCGCUGCCUUGCGGUUGAAGUUUAAUCACAAGGCGGUGAGGAAGAAAGAGUAAAAUUCAAACGAUGAAGGUUUUCGAAGUUAAAACGGGAAUGAAGAUACCUUGGAAGGCACGCUAUUCAUUAACUCUGUUGAUUUUGUUAUCAUCAGUUCUUCUUCUUUGCAACGGCCAAGAUUAUGGAACACCGACCGAAGAUGGAGCAGGAGGAGGUGAGCCACCACCUGAGAUGGCGCGUUGCAACGGUAUUUUCAUGAGCUACAGCUUCGGUAGCCGCGAAAGAGAGUACCCUCACGUUAAGAACGUGACGGCGCAAUCAUGGGCGUUUAAAUCGUCUGCGAUGAUUGUAAACGCGGGGAAAGAAGAGCUCACGGGAUGGCAAAUGUUUAUAGGGUUUCGUCACAAGGAGCUGAUCGUUUCUGCGACUGGUGCGUCUCCAUUGGACGGAGAUUAUCCCCUGGAUGCUAGCAACGGAACCACGUUCGUUGGUUCUCCAAACACGGAUUUGAAAACCUCGAUUUUAACCGCUGGUGAUUUCACUCAGAUAUCGACCAAUAUCGAAAUCACCGGGACUCUUUUCGGGGUUGCAAAGGGGGUCACACCCAUGCCAAGAACACUUAAGCUCAUCAACGACGGUUGGGAAUGUCCUGCCGCCAAGAGAAAAGGUAAAAGAUCAUACUAACCUAGAUUUCUUGAAACACAAGUAACUUAUGUGUGCAUUUUGUAGGAUGUGUUUAACAACACAACGUAUAACUUUUAUUUUAUUUAUUUCAUUUCAUCAAUUAUAAUUUGGAAGUUCUUAAUGCAACGCAAAACAUAAUCUUCCUCUUUUUUUUGAAACACUCUUCCGUUCACAUUUGUAAUUUAUAAAGAUGUUCUUAUAAAAAUUGAAUGUGAUUUUCAAAAUGCUGGGUUUUAUUUCAAUGCAAUGAAAACUUUAUCUUCCGUUUGCAUUUGUAGUUUUAAUUUUUUUUUUGAACACCAUUGUAAUUUUAAUUUAUAAAGAUGUUUUGAACAAAUUGAAUGUGAUUUUCAAAACGGUGGGUUUGUUUUUUCUUGCACAGGAGGCAGUAUGAACGUUUGUUGCAAGAGAAACCCUAAGUUCAAGGUCAAAACUGGACCAAAGACAAAGUUUGCACCGAGAAGACACGGUGAUCUGAACAUAGUAUACGAUGUGUUGCAAUCAUUUGGCAGUAACUACUUAGCCCAAGUGACCAUCGACAACGAGAAUCCGCUGGGGCGUUUAGACCGUUGGAACCUAACAUGGGAAUGGACGCGAGGAGAGAUUAUAAACACGAUGCGAGGAGCUUACACUUACAAAAGAGAUCCAUCGGAAUGUCUUUACAGCAGAGCUGGACAAUAUUACAAAGACUUAGAUUUCUCUCAGGUCAUGAAUUGUCAGAAGAAGCCAGCCAUUUCUGAUUUGCCUCCUGAGAGGAAGGAUGAUAACGUGACGGGCAAGUUACCUUUCUGUUGCAAAAACGGAACUCUUUUGCCACCUCUUAUGGAUCCUUCGAAAUCUCGAUCUAUGUUUCAGUUGCAGGUAAAUAAUCUCUUUCGUUGAAAAGAUAUGUCCUGAAUCGCAUAUAGUUGGGUUAUAAAAUUUUAGUUGUCAUUCAGUGCUUGGUUUUAAACGACCAGGAGGACUUCCUGAGUUACUGGAUAACUUCUAGAUUAAAAUAAGUCAAAAGAAAUUAACAAAGUUAAAAUAAAUUAUCAAUGAAAUAAACUAAUAACUAAUCAAAUCAACCAAUUUUAGGUGUUGAGAAAUUUUUUAGGAUAACAUUUUUUAAGUUUUUGUCACAAAAAUAGUUUUUUUGAUCAAAAUAAAUUUUAUUAAAGGGUAUGGUUAACUAAUAUAGACUUAGAGUUUAAAGUUAAGGGAUGAGCUUUUGGAGAUAGGGUUUCAGAUUUAAAAAAAACAAAAAAUAAAAAUUAAAGUUUUCAAAAUAAAAAAGACUAUUUUUGUCAUUUUCUUUUUUGAAGGUUAUUUUUGUGACAAAAACUUAAAAAUGGCUAUUUGAAAGAAUUACCCUUUAGUUUUUCUAUUUAUCAUUAUGUUUUCAUCUUCUUCAAGGGGUUUAGUGGAAUUUUUCUUAAAAUUUAAAUUUACAUAAAAAUUUUUUUUAAAAAAAUAUAAAACUAUUUAAAUAAAAUAUUUAAAUAAUUUUUCGAUAUUCUUAUUAGUGUUUUUUUUUAUUUAAAUCUGAACCGCAUAGUACUUACUCACUAGGUUUGGUUCAACCAUGGUUCUUGGCCGGAUCUGAAAAUUUUGUUUUUUUUUUGUUCUUAUGUGCUAGGUUUUCAAGUUACCUCCGGAUCUAAACAGAACAGCUCUAUAUCCACCUCAACAUUGGAAAAUCGAUGGAGUUCUCAAUCCGCAGUACAAAUGCGGGCCACCGGUUCGGGUUGACCCAUCACAGUUCCCCGAUUCUAGCGGUCUGCCGGCAGUAACCUAUGCCAUCGCCAGUUGGCAAGUUGUCUGCAACAUAACCAAACCCAAAGCUCAGGCUUCAAGAUGUUGUGUCUCUUUCUCAGCAUUUUACAACAGUUCUGCUAUUCCUUGCAACACUUGUGCUUGCGGAUGCAAUGACAUUGAUACA
rnacentral:lncRNA from 1 species